rnacentral:tRNA from 1 species
GCCUUCGUGGUGUAACGGUAACACACUCGGCGCGUAUUCGAGAGGCCCAGGUUCGAUUUCCAGCCAGGGCA